GAUGAACGCUGGCGGCGUGCCUAAUACAUGCAAGUCGAGCGAACGGACGAGAAGCUUGCUUCUCUGAUGUUAGCGGCGGACGGGUGAGUAACACGUGGAUAGCCUACCUAUAAGACUGGGAUAACUUCGGGAAACCGGAGCUAAUACCGGAUAAUAUUUUGAACCGCAUGGUUCAAAAGUGAAAGACGGUCUUGCUGUCACUUAUAGAUGGAUCCGCGCUGCAUUAGCUAGUUGGUAAGGUAACGGCUUACCAAGGCAACGAUGCAUAGCCGACCUGAGAGGGUGAUCGGCCACACUGGAACUGAGACACGGUCCAGACUCCUACGGGAGGCAGCAGUAGGGAAUCUUCCGCAAUGGGCGAAAGCCUGACGGAGCAACGCCGCGUGAGUGAUGAAGGUCUUCGGAUCGUAAAACUCUGUUAUUAGGGAAGAACAUAUGUGUAAGUAACUGUGCACAUCUUGACGGUACCUAAUCAGAAAGCCACGGCUAACUAUGUG
rnacentral:rRNA from 1 species